CUGCCCCGGACCCUACCGCCAGGGUCUCUGGCGGUAGGGCUAGACAGCCUACCGCCAGGGCCCCUGGCAGCCCUACCGCCAGAUUCCCUGACGGUAAGAAAAAGGGUCAAAUCCCGAAAAAAUUUCAAACCAGGGUCAGAUCCUGAAAUUGUUUGUCAAAAGGGUCAAAAUACGAAAUUUUGCCUCCUGUAGCAGUCGGAGCAGCCUAUCAUUGCCCCAUGGGCACAGGCACGGUGCCCUCGAUCGCCACCACCGUCAAUGGCUUGCUCCACAUCCCAUCGACCAAUCGAGUCGCCAUCGGCCGGAGGGAUCAAUCUGUUCUUCCUACCCCUGCAUUUGUUGUCCCUGUCGAGAUGCUAAAUCCAGUUGAGCUUUGAUUUUCACAUGGCACAUGUGCUGAUUGAACCUGAGCCAAUGACCUAUCCCCGAGGCCUGGAGAAAUUAUUUAUGAUUUCUAUAUGAAGACGGGGUUUUGUAAGUUUAUUGAAAGAUGCAAGUUUCACCAUCCAGUUGAUUGGUCUGCACCUGAUUGCAUUGCAAAAUGGAAGGAGAGAGUUCCAAAUACACGGAGCUGGCUCAAUUGUACGAGAAGUACAAGGACCUGGGUUUUGAGAAUUGAGAUCUUUGAUUUCCCAUGCAACCAGUUUGGUGGGUAGGUACCAGCUGGCACUAAUGAGGAAUAUUUGCGCCCGUAAGUCCGAGUAUCCGAUUUUUGACAAGGCAAAUGCGUGCUUGAUACUUCAUCCUUCCUUUGUUUUGUUGGUCUCUCUGUUUCAAGCUGAAAGAAACAAUUGCUUCAGUGUACAAUGUACACUACGACUGCUUCCAUGAACAGUUAUUAUAAUGAUGUUUGCCAGGGCACUUCUGUUGUCUGCACCCCGUCCCACUGAGGUAACAGCAGCUGGAUUGUAUUCAUCCAGCGCACAAUCAGUUCUCUGUAUUGCCAAAUCAAUCAAUCCAACAAGGGUAGGGAGGGAUCCUUCACAAUUUCAUCUAGAUCCGCCCAUGUAUGUGUUAGUGUUCAAGAUCACUGAGGUUAUUUUUGUCGUACUAUCAGGAACUUGUUAAUCGGUGGCACUCUUCUUUCAAGCUCGAAAAAAUGUCAGGCUCAAGCCUACCUUCUUAUGAUUGUAAUUGAGUAGUUUUUCUUACUAAUGGGAGAUAAUAAUUAAUAAAAGCUUACUAGUGAUUCAUGUUUUUCUUACUAAUGGUUCAUGAUUUAUUUACUGAAAUAGCCGACUAUUAGGCAAAUUUAUCGGUAGAUUUGACAAUGCUGGUGUAUUGGUUGUAUUCUGCAGUGUGAGUGUUGUUAACUUGUUGCAGUGUCAUACUAGAAUAAUUUUGCAUCACGUCUUGUCCAUUCUUUUUAUAUAUUUUAACCGAUCUGUUAAAUAACAUGCCCUUUGUUAAUCUCCAUCUGUUUUGCCUUCUUUAAAAAGGUUAGCAUAUAGAACAUGAAAUCUGUGAGCAAAGAUAGCCAAUAUGUUGAUUCCAACCAAAGAUUGCUGGCUACAAUGUGUGACCAUUUUGGGUCAGUAAACUGUGUGAGAUGGGCCAAGAAUGGACGCUAUCUUGCUUCGGGAUCGGACGAUCAAGCUAUCCUAAUUCAUGAAAGGAAAGCUGGUUCCAGUACAUCUGAGUUUGGAACUGGAGAGCCGGCAGAUAUAGGAAAUUGGAAGGUCGUUAUGAUCUUAAGGGGGCAUACUGCGAACGUGCUGCAGAAGACAAAGGCGUAGAUGUCAUUAUUUGCAGAUGUCAUGCGUGUGGCCCUGCGCACAAGAGAAUACAGUACACAACGAUGAUAAGGUCAGAGCCUUGUUUAAGCAAGUGCAAGGAGAAGUUCCUGGAUCGCCUAUAUUUAUUAUGAAGGUGGCAUCUCAGAGCCAACAUCUAGAGGUUCAUUUGCUCUGUAACAAGCAUGACAAUGUGGCAGAACUGCACAGUCGAGACUGUAGUGUUCAAAGAAGGCACCAAAAGGAGAGCGGGAGGACUUAGAGCAGGGCCAACCCGAGCUGGAUGACAGGGUGUCAUCGGAGGCGGAGGAGAGGUCCGGCGAGAGCAGUGACAUGGUG